AUGGUGGGCUUCUUGGAGGAGCAGCUUGGUUAGAAGCUGGUGAUGAGCAGCAGCAAGGAUGACCAGUGGCAGUGGUAGGACUUCAUGUGGGACAUGACUUGGCUGGCGCUGCCCUACAAGGAGAAGCACAGAAACUUUGGAACAAAUACCAAAUUUCCAAUAUUCCAUUGCUAAUAUUCGUAGAUGCCACCACUGCAAAGGUUGUGGGCAAGAAUGGGCUGCUGGUGAUCUGAGAUGACCCAGAAGGUAUGGAAUUCCCUUGGGGACCUAACCUUUUCAGGUUUAUGAAAUGACUCACAGUUCUUGGAGAGCAGCAUCCCAGAAAGGCCUUACAUAGGACCCUAUUUCUCUGCACAUGGGUGUUCAUCCUGCCAAAGCCUCACCCAGGUCCUGGUGGAAUCUUAUUAGAAGAUCAAGGAGGCAGGCCAGAACUUUGAGAUUAUCUUAGUCAGUGAAGACAGAUCAGAGAGUCCUUCAAACAGUACUUCAGUGAUAGGUUCUGGCUCACUAACCCCCAUACUGAAAAGGCCUGGAAGUCGCACCCCAUCUGGCUGUAUAGAAUCCAAGGCAUUCCCCAUGCUCAUUGUGCUGGGCCCACAGGGUGAGGUGAUCAUGUGGCGGGGUGAGUGGAGGUGCUUAACGACGAGGACUGCUGGGAGUUCCCGUGGCACCCAAGCCCGUGCUGAAGCUCUCUGACUCCAACACUUUGCAGCUCAACUGGCCCCUGCCUCCUCCUUUUUGUAGACUCUGAGGAUGACAGAGAGUCCCAGGAAGCCAAGCAGCUGAUUCAGCCAAUAGCUGAGAAAAUCAUUGCCAAGUGCAAAGCCAAAGAGGAGGAGCAUCACUUCCAUUUUUUGUAUCUGGGGAGGAUGAUAUGAUAGACUUCCUGCAAGGUUACACCAACCUGCCUGAGGCUGCCCCUUUGCUCACUAUCCUGGACAUGUCAUCACUGAUGGAGUAUGUGAUGGACGUGGAAGAAGAUCACCCCUGCCAUUGUGGAGGCCUUUGUGAAUAACUUCCUGGCAGAAAAGCUCAAUCCAGAGCCCAUCUA
rnacentral:lncRNA from 1 species